rnacentral:rRNA from 1 species
AGAGUUUGAUCAUGGCUCAGGAUGAACGCUGGCGGCGUGCCUAAUACAUGCAAGUCGUGCGAGAUCUUCGGAUCUAGCGGCGAACGGGUGAGUAACACGUGGGCAACCUGCCCCUAAGACUGGGAUAACUCCGAGAAAUCGGAGCUAAUACCAGAUAACCUUUUUCCUCGCAUGAGGAAAAAGUAAAAGGCUUCGGCCACUUAGGGAUGGGCCCGCGGCGCAUUAGCUAGUUGGUGAGGUAACGGCUCACCAAGGCGACGAUGCGUAGCCGACCUGAGAGGGUGAUCGGCCACACUGGGACUGAGACACGGCCCAGACUCCUACGGGAGGCAGCAGUAGGGAAUUUUCCGCAAUGGGCGAAAGCCUGACGGAGCAACGCCGCGUGAGUGAAGACGGCCUUCGGGUUGUAAAACUCUGUUCUUGGGGAAGAAGAAAGUGACGGUACCCAAGGAGAAAGCCCCGGCUAACUACGUGCCAGCAGCCGCGGUAAUACGUAGGGGGCGAGCGUUAUCCGGAUUUAUUGGGCGUAAAGCGCGCGCAGGCGGUCAGGUAAGUCGGAUGUGAAAGGCUACGGCUCAACCGUAGAGCGGCAUCCGAAACUGCUUGACUUGAGUGCAGGAGAGGAGAGUGGAAUUCCCGGUGUAGCGGUGGCAUGCGUAGAGAUCGGGAGGAACACCAGUGGCGAAGGCGACUCUCUGGACUGUAACUGACGCUGAGGCGCGAAAGCGUGGGGAGCAAACAGGAUUAGAUACCCUGGUAGUCCACGCCGUAAACGAUGAGUGCUAGGUGUUGGGGGGACCCCCCUCAGUGCCGCAGGUAACCCAAUAAGCACUCCGCCUGGGGAGUACGGUCGCAAGACUGAAACUCAAAGGAAUUGACGG